rnacentral:rRNA from 1 species
GAUCAUGGCUCAGGAUGAACGCUGGCGGCGUGCCUAACACAUGCAAGUCGAGCGAUCUCUUCGGAGAGAGCGGCGGACGGGUGAGUAACGCGUGGGUAACCUGCCCUGUACACACGGAUAACAUACCGAAAGGUAUGCUAAUACGGGAUAAUAUAUAAGAGUCGCAUGAUUUUUAUAUCAAAGAUUUUUCGGUACAGGAUGGACCCGCGUCUGAUUAGCUUGUUGGCGGGGUAACGGCC